rnacentral:rRNA from 1 species
GAUCAUGGCUCAGGAUGAACGCUGGCGGCGUGCUUAACACAUGCAAGUCGAGCGAAGCACUUAAGUUUGAUUCUUCGGAUGAAGACUUUUGUGACUGAGCGGGCGGACGGGUGAGGUAACGCGUGGGUAACCUGCCUCAUACAGGGGGAUAACAGUUAGAAAUGGCUGCUAAUACCGCAUAAGACCACAGUACUGCAUGGUAUAGUGGUAAAAACUCCGGUGGUAUGAGAUGGACCCG